CAAGAGCAUAUGUAAAAGUUGUUGCAGUUAAAAAGCUCGUAGUUGAACCUUGGGUUUGGUUGGCCGGUCCGCUUUUUUGCGAGUACUGGAUUCAACCGAGCCUUUCCUUCUGGCUAACCAGUCGUUUCGGCGGCUGGCGAACCAGGAUUUUUACUUUGAGAAAAUUAGAGUGUUCAAAGCAGGCAUUAGCUUGAAUAUAUUAGCAUGGAAUAAUAGAAUAGGACGUUAUGGUUCUAUUUUGUUGGUUUCUAGGACCAUCGUAAUGAUUAAUAGGGACGGUCGGGGGCAUCAGUAUUCAGUUGUCAGAGGUGAAAUUCUUGGAUUUACUGAAGACUAACUACUGCGAAAGCAUUUGCCAAGGACGUUUUCAUUAA
rnacentral:rRNA from 1 species